rnacentral:lncRNA from 1 species
ACACAGAAGAUUUCCGUAAUAACAAAAUAAUGGUGAAAUAGUUUGAGUAAGCUCUUUCCCAGCAUAUUAUCAUUACCCCUGAAAGGCAAAAUGCCUCCUUUCCAACCCAGGGAAACCACUUACCAGCCAGAUCACUCUCGAAAGGAGCUGGGCUUCCUUAAGAGGUUCGGUGGAAUCACCUCCUUGCCUUCAGCCAUUGUAUCACCUGCCACCUUAGUCCAUUGUGUAGCUGAAAAGGCUUCUGAAAUGGUUUGCUUGCAAAAGGAAUAGUAUAGCUCUGCAAGAACAAUUUCUUUCCUAGUCUCAAACCCCAGUACUAACCACGAGAUUAAAUGCUACUUUUCAGGCCACACACUACUUAUUUAUUAUUUACAUGCAAAAAAAUUAAAACGUGGUUGACCUUCAGGAUCAGGAGGAGGACGCAGGAGAAUCAGUGCUGAGUUUAAUUUAAUGUUCUGUAACAAACAAGGGGAAAAGAUAUAGAGAUACCGAUUUUGAGGGAAAUGUUAAUUAUCUGAAGCUUAAUUACAGAUAACAUCACGAGGAGAAUACAUAAAAGGCUUGAAAUGCAGCCAAGGCAUUUCCCUAAGAACAUUAAAAAAUGAUUGUUGUUUACAAUUCACAAAUCGCACAGACAUAAAGCUGAGAUGGGGAAAAGAGAGUCAGGCUCGAAGUAAGAACCCAACCUGCUCUUUAAAACCUGUUCACAAGAGCAGUGAUGCUAGUGCCGUUAGCUCAUGUUUUAGAAGCAAAUGAGAUUCUGUACGUUUCCCCUUUAAAAUAAAAAUUAGCAGAUCCGCGGCAAAUACAUUGAAGUAAGAUCUUGGGAGACGACACAACCCAAAUAAAAAUAAAUAAUUUAUGAGGUCUCAGAAUGGGAACUACAAAUAACAUAGAAUUCACAGACAUUUAUCUCCAUCGUAAGUACAACAGAAAUAAAGGAAGGAAGAUUUUUACGUUCCUGUCACUUCGUUACUGAAUCUGACGAUGUGAAAAUCUCCCUUUUCACUCAUAUGUAAUUUUCAUUGGAUGCAGCAAAGAAUGGCUUACAUUUAUCUAGUCUCCUCUUUAGAGAUGCUUGUUUGUCUUUUUUGUACAAUUAGUGUCUAUUAAUAUCCAAUUACCUGUAACGGGGAGUUUCAGGAUAAAGGAAUGUGGCAUUUUGGAAGAACUUUGCUUUCUAGGAGGUUAUAAGAAAUGAGGGCCUGGCAGUUCCUCUUUGCCUAAAGUCAAUGAGACCUGAUGCUCUUGGGAAGGAUGCAGUUUUGGGCUCCAGGGCCUUGGGUGUGCCGGCCAGAGCUCCUGGCUCUGGGGGUGCUGGGCCUUGAUGGUGUUGCACUAGCUCUUACAGGAGAGAUGUUGGGGAUGCUUCCAGAAAUAGGGUUGCAACUAGAGGUCUCAACACUUGGUCCCUUUUCAAACAAUGGGGAUGGAGUGAAUUUUUGUGCCGAUCUGAGGGAUUUGUAUGUGUACCUUUGAGGUGAGUGGUGGGAGAGAGCAGAGUUAUAGGGGAAGGGAGAUGAGAACAACAGGCAGGUUCAGUCACACGUUUGCUUAAGUUACUCUAAGUACAGUUAGAGACUCAGUGAAGAUAGUUUGCUGGGUGUGUUCCUCUCUGUUUAGGUCCACUGCCUCCUGUCUGGUCUUCAGAUUUCCUCACGAAAGACUUUCUCCUCUAAACACAGUGGCUAAGCGUGGAGGCUGGUGUGGAGAAGGAGGCCAAAGAGGACGUUGGAGUCCCUUGAUCUGGCCCUUCCUUUGGAGCACAAAUGCCUGGGCCCUGUGUCCUUAUGUCCGUAGCUGGCUCAUUCUACCACUCCUUCUGCAAACGACUAGUGGGAACCCCAUUUCUCACGGGCUUUUUUGGAUCUCAGAUUACUCCCUCUGUACCUGUGAUUUCCAUUAUUGGGGUUUUGUUUUGUUUACUUGCAAGGUUCUCUGGCAUGUAGCAAAGAACACAUAUUGCAGAAGGCUGGAAUAAAUUUUGCUGGUAGGUUAGAAACCACAAGGAAAGAGGCCUGAGCUAAUUGGAUUAUUUUUACUAUGGAUAAAUGACUCUCUGCAAAUGUUAAAAAGCAAAACUAAUUUGUCCUCAAUUCUAAGAUCCAAAUGCCUUUGUCAAGAAAUUGUUGUUGAAGCCUGAGUGAGAAUUGCAUGGAGAAAUAAACUAUCAGUUUCGCAUUUUCUGAUUCAGAGAUGUAAAAAAGUUAGUGGAUGAUCCCACAAACACAGCACCUUUGAGGUCUUAUAGUGCAGAUAUAUAGUUACUUGUCUAGGGAAAACUGCUGAACGAUCCCUUCAAAAAACUGGACCAAACCUGCAUGGGUAUGUUCAGAGUAGGUAGCACAGAGCAGGAAAUUCUAAUCUGGAAAUUGGUUCAAUUUCCAGACGUGGUGAGAGAGUGACAUUUGGGCCCUUGUUUUAAAUAAGCCUACAUGGAAACCAACACAGACCAACCCCAUGAGAAAAGCAAGGAUUAUUUACUCAGGACUUGCUAUAGCCAGCAGGUCAGCCGCCGUCACUUGCAUUUGGACAAACCCCAAAGCACCCAGAGGAGUGGGAAAGCUUCCUAGUGGCAGAAAGGUAGGCUUCGGCUGUACCCUGAUAGAGGCUAUGGCUUGGGGAUCUGGGAUCUGGGAUUGGUUAGAAGCACAUAUCUGGCUUUCUCUGGCUGGUCCUGAGCUGGAAGCAGGGACAAAAAUCAGGGAAGCCAUCAGUUAUUAAUCAAGCCCCUGCCAUCCUAAGUCCAUUGUUCCCAGGUGACUGUUUGGUUUCCUGGAUUGUUACUAGAGCUAAGGGUUUGACUUCCUCCAGGUCUGUGGUACAGCAGGCUGGCCUCCCGGGCUGGCUGCUAUAGAUGGUGGGCUGGUUGCUACAGCCUGUGGGUCAGAGCUCUACGUUUAUACGUCCGUCUGGCUAUUGUCUGGGUAUUUAGUUUCUCAUCAUCCGAGUUCACAACGUGCUCAUCUACCUUUCUGAAGAGCAUGUCCAUCCACUUUGUCCUUUGAGCCUUUCAGCUGGCCAGGAGCAGGUUCUACGUGGCCAGUCCCAUCAAGAGCACCUCCAUUGGUGGUGGGUGCCAUUCCAAAGCAAGGGGCUCCAUCACCUGUAAGCAAAGCUGCCGCCUUGCUGCUCUGUCUGGCACUGUACGCCAUCCACUGUGCUCCAUGCAUAACUAUCUUAGAGGUAAGUGGCACCCAGUUGUAGUAGGUUUCAAAUAUUGAAUGCUACUACAUGCAUCAUGAUAAAUAUAUUUAAGUAUAUUUUCUCACAGUAAAACGAUGCAGUAGGUAGAUACAACUGUUGUUAUGCUCAGUGUAAAGAUGAUGAUAUGGAGGCUGGGGGAGGUUAAAGAAACUGUCAAUGGCCAGGUGACUAGGAAAUGAUGGGGCUAGAAUUUGAACCAAAGUGGCUUUACUCUACCUUAAGCCAUUGAGCUAUUGUGGAGGUGAGAAUGGGCAAAGUGUACCUUCUUUUUUUUUUUUUUUUUUGGUCACCCUAAGGUAUAUGGAAUUCCCAGGCCAGGGAUCAGAUCUGAGCCACAGUCUCAACCUAAGCCGCAGCUAUGGCAGUGCUGGAUCCUUAACCCACUGUGCCUGCCAGGCUGAGGAUCACACCUGCAUCCCAAGGUUCUCAAGAUGUUGCCAAGCCCCUUGUGCCACAGUGGGAACUCCAAAGUGUGCCUUUUUAUGUGCUGAGAAUCUGAGAAGGAGAAUCUCAUCCAGUAGUGCUUGAAUAAUAAAGGAAAGCAUGGAUCCCCUCCGAAGUCUCUAAGGAAGACUAGUGACAAUGAUUACUAAUCCGUCAGGGCUCCAAAAGUUUCCUGUGGGGCCAGUGCUCUAAGGAUUACAAAGAGGUGUAAGAAAUAAUUCUUACCUUCAAAGUUGUCUGGCAGGGAAGCCCAGGCUGGCACACAGGAAACUACUGUUGAAAAAUUAGGUGCUAUCUUUUGUGUACACAGCGAGUAAAACAGGAACUAGAAAAAUUAGAAUAGAUAAAGGAAAAGAGUAGCGAGAAUUUAAUGAAAAGGGUAGUACUGAGCUUUAAAGGGCAAGCAGAAUAGACAAGCAUGGCUGGGGGUGGAGGAUGUUCCAGAAAAGGCUCCGCAUGCUCAUGAGCUGGCAUGGGCAGGAUCGGGGACCACCCUGAGUCACUAGAGGGUUACAGAGCUGCGUGAGCCUGGCGGAGAAUUAUCAUUUUAAUGACCUUGAAAAAGAAAACUGAAAGGUGUAUGAUUAUGAAAGAGUAUACAAAUAGGCAUUCUUCAGAUAGAAACAAUAUAUAGAUACUCAUGUUGCAACAGAACAAAGGGUGGGGAAAAAAAGUGUAAUUGUAAUGUAUACAUGUAAGGAUAACUUGAUCCCCUUGCUGUACAGUGGGAAAAUUAAAAAAAAAAAAAAA